CCGGUUGUGCCGCCAGGCGCAUCGCCGGGUAUCCAAGUCGGGAUCGGAUAAGCGCUGAAAGCAUCUAAGUGCGAAGCCGGCCACAAGAUUAGAUUUCUCAGGGUCGUUGAAGACGACAACGUUGAUAGGAUGCAGGUGUAAAGCUGGAGACAGCAAAGCCGAGCAUUACUAAUUGCCCGUCAGCUUUCCUUA
rnacentral:rRNA from 1 species